rnacentral:rRNA from 1 species
CUACGGGUCGCUGCAGGGACGAAUACUUCGCAAUGGGCGAAAGCCUGACGAAGCGACGCCGCGUGCGGGAAGAAGCUCUUCGGGGUGUAAACCGCUGUCAGGGACUACCAAGCAAAUGCGCCUAAUACGCGCACGCGUUGAGGAAUCCCACAGGAAGCCACGGCUAACUCCGUGCCAGCAGCCGCGGUAAUACGGAGGUGGCAAGCGUUGUUCGGAAUCACUGGGCUUAAAGAGCACGUAGGCUGUCUGUCAAGCGUCUUGUGAAAUCCCUCGGCUCAACCGAGGAAUUGCUUGGCGAACUGGCAGACUUGAGGCAAGUAGAGGCGCGCGGAACUCUUGGUGGAGCGGUGAAAUGCGUAGAUAUCAAGAGGAACGCCGGUGGCGAAAGCGGCGCGCUGGGCUUGAUCUGACGCUGAGGUGCGAAAGCUAGGGUAGCGAACGGGAUUAGAUACCCCAGUAGUC